UGCUUUCUCUCUUUUUUUCUUUCGUCUUGUUGUCCUUUACCCUUGGUCGCUGGCGUCUUUUCGCGCGCCGACGCUUGUCGGCACUGGCGCGCCGCUGCUGGUCGACGACAAACUCGGGGGACCACCGCUGUCACGCGCCCAAUGCCCCAAUGCAUCUGGUCGCCACGCCUUUUUCCCUUGUAUUUUUUCCAUUUUUCGGCCGUCCUCAUUUUUAUUAUUGAUCUUGUUGUUGUUGUGCGCCGCACAGGUCCAGACAAAAGGACAUGCGGACGGCACGGGGCAGACCAGGACGCGGCAAAAAAAGCCCAAGGGCGCGCCAGAGCCAGAGCGAGGAGGAGGCAAUUUGGAAAAAAAAGAGGACAACAGCAGGAUGGACGCACCCCAUACGCGCCCAAACCCGCGUGGUGCGCCAACAUAAAAGAAAGAGAACAAAGCGAGGGGAAAACCCAAAUAAAAGGUGGACGAGGGCGUGCGUGCGCGGC
rnacentral:lncRNA from 1 species